AACGCACCUUGCACUCCUUGGUAUUCCGAGGAGUACGCCUGUUCGAGUGUCAUGAAAUUCUCAAAUUGAGGUUCUUUUUUCUGAAUCUUGGUUUGGUUUUGGGCCUUGCUGUGUCACUACGGCUGGUCUUAAAAGUAUUAGCUGAAUCUUGGUGUAGGCCUGGUUUGACUCGGCGUGAUAAUUUACUGAUCGCUGAGGACAUUCUUUGGAAUGGCCAGACGUAUCCUCGAAUCGCUUCUAAUCGGGAACUUGUUCCUAAUUUUUUCAUGUUUGGCCUCGAAUCAGGUGGGACUACCCGCUGAACUUAA
rnacentral:misc_RNA from 1 species